AACGAACGCUGGCGGCGUGCUUAACACAUGCAAGUCGAACGGGUUUAUUGGAUGUAGCAAUACAUUCAAUAGAUUAGUGGCGCACGGGUGAGUAACACGUAGGCAACCUACCCUUCAGUGGGGGACAACAGAGGGAAACUUCUGCUAAUACCGCAUACGGCCUUGUACUGGGAUGUACGAGGAGAAAGGAUUUAUUCGCUGAGGGAUGGGCCUGCGGCCUAUCAGGUAGUUGGUGGGGUAAAGGCCUACCAAGCCUGCGACGGGUAGCCGGACUGAGAGGUCGACCGGCCACACUGGAACUGAGACACGGUCCAGACUCCUACGGGAGGCAGCAGUGGGGAAUAUUGCACAAUGGGGGAAACCCUGAUGCAGCGACGCCGCGUGGAGGAUGACGGCCUUCGGGUUGUAAACUCCUUUUGUCAGGGACAAUGGUGAUGGUACCUGACGAAUAAGCCACGGCUAACUCUGUGC
rnacentral:rRNA from 1 species